rnacentral:rRNA from 1 species
GAUUCAGUCUAUACCACCCUGAACAUGCCCGAUUCCGUCUGAUCUCUGAAGCUAAGCAGGGAAGGUACCUGGUUAGUACUUGGAUGGGAGACAGAGAGAUUUGCACUGUCCUCUUGAUUCU